rnacentral:rRNA from 1 species
CUACACAGGUGGGUUAAACAGACAAGAGGGGAACCCUUAUUGUUAAAUAUCAUUAUUUAAUUGGGCAAUUUUGCCAAAGUGUAGGGGGCCAACCGGAGGGAGGUAGGGAAGAAGUCAAAUCCUCCAUUCCCUAUUGACCUUGGGUUCCCACGUUGUACAAAGGGGAAUACAACGAGUUGGGAAGUUGGGAGGCUAAACUAAUUUUUUAAAGGUUUUCUUAAUUUGGAUUGCAGGGUGCCAAUUCCCUGCCAGAAACCGGAAUUGGUAGUAAUUGGGGAACAGCCCGCCGCGGGGAAUUCGUUCCCGGGCCUUUUACCCCACGCCCGUCCCCCCCCGGGAAUUUGUAACCCCCGAAGUCGGUGAGGUAACCUUUUUGAGCCACCGCCUAAGGGGAAAUUGGU